UCCUAGCGCUUCCUCUUAAACAAACUUAAAUUACCCCAAAGGCCGGCCAGAUUAGCGUACACAGAAAAAUCAACACCCUAUGAUCUGUCAUCCAAUUUUUCCUCCACGGUCGGCCAUCCUAUUCAAGGCCCCUGAUGCAAUGUUCUGCCAACAAUCCAUGUGCACGUCCUACCUAGCGAUUGAACGGGAUCAAAAUCUCCCUAGCGAAACACCGGUUGCCGCUGCACUUACAUACUCCGCCCACGACGCUGUCCCACCAGCGGCGGUGACGCUAGCGAUCGUACCGAGACGUCGUGGGAGAUGGAGCUCCAGGCCAUCAAGGACUCCUACACUGGCGUGUCCAAACCGCCUCCAUGACGGAGCCAAACCGCCGUACCCAUUCGGACUCAAGAACAUGGUGCGCCUCGCCGGUAUGGAUCAUCUCGCCUCCCACUUGCCAAGGUAAUACAAGUAGUUGUACGGGGUUCAUAAAGGAAUCGAGCUUCUCAUCUUUGACGAUUAACGGAUGAGGCACAGGGUACACAUGACGGAUCUACGAACUACAGCUGACAACACAUGGACGGCCAAAGGCUGUUGCAUCCGCCGACCAACCACUACCCUUAAUCAAGCACAAGAUUCUUGUGGCAGUUAAUGGGGUGCGGACUAGAGGUGGAUCAUGUGUUAACCAAAAGCUGGUCGGGGUCGUCGCAAUUGCAAACUGUGGGUGGACGGAUUUUCUAUUUGCCGCAUGCUCUCUGUCUCCCUCAAUACGGACAGCAAGGAGAAAGCUGGGCAUGGAGAACAACAAGUCUUCUGCAAGGUGAAAAUUGAGAAGAAAACGUUUGGCCUGGACGAAGGGGUUCAUCGACCAGAAACCAUAUGUUUGAUUUUGCUCAAUGUGUACUUAUCAACAAUAUGCUAUCACUUUGAUUGAUGUCUUGGUACAUCUUUUAUUGUUCAGUAGGCUUUUAACGGUUAAGUAAAUAAUGUAAACGAUUUCUACCUGAACUUUUAUGAUUCCGUAGCGUAGCACGGGCUUCUUACUAGUAU